rnacentral:rRNA from 1 species
CCUACGGGAGGCAGCAGUGGGGAAUAUUGGACAAUGGGGGCAACCCUGAUCCAGCCAUGCCGCGUGUGUGAAGAAGGCCCUCGGGUUGUAAAGCACUUUCAGUGAGGAAGAACGCCUGGUGGUUAAUACCCAUCAGGAAAGACAUCACUCACAGAAGAAGCACUGGCUAACUCCGUGCCAGCAGCCGCGGUAAUACGGAGGGUGCGAGCGUUAAUCGGAAUUACUGGGCGUAAAGCGCGCGUAGGUGGCUUGAUAAGCCGGUUGUGAAAGCCCCGGGCUCAACCUGGGAACGGCAUCCGGAACUGUCAAGCUAGAGUGCAGGAGAGGAAGGUAGAAUUCCCGGUGUAGCGGUGAAAUGCGUAGAGAUCGGGAGGAAUACCAGUGGCGAAGGCGGCCUUCUGGACUGACACUGACACUGAGGUGCGAAAGCGUGGGUAGCAAACAGGAUUAGAUACCCGGGUAGUC